UGCAGUGUGGUGUAGUGGUUUAACUGUUGGACUACAACUCUGGAGAUCAGGGUUCAAUGCCCAGCUCAGCAU